UCAUUCUGUAGCAAAAAAGGGAAAAAAAAGGGGCUGGGUUUACGAGCCAAUGCAAAUAGGCUUAACCCAUCCCACAGUCUGCUGUUUGUAUUGUACUAGCAAGAAAUCGGAAAUAAGUCUAAAAUAUGUGGCAGCGUCUACUAACAAGUCAGUGUUACUGCUGAUAGUUAAAUAUAGGAGACAAUAUUGACGGCGAAAAAAAAGAUUAUGGAAAACCGUCUAUUGGAUGUGAUUGUCCUAUGGAUAACACUUGCGGGACUGUGUUCUGGUGACUUCGUGUCACAGAUUCCACAUGUUCAAACUGCCGAAGGACAAAACGUUACGCUGAACUGCACAUACAACACCUCAAGCAGUAGCACUCUUUAUCUGCAGUGGUACCAGCACUUACCCACUGCAGCCCCACGUUACCUUCUUCAGAGAUUUUCGACAGGUGGUGGAGAUGACAACGGAGUAAAAGACGGUCGAUUUUCAGCUGAACUGAACCAUUCUAAGCGGUUUAUACAGUUAACACUGCGAGAAGUUAAACUGUCUGACUCUGCCAUGUACUACUGUGGUCUGAGCACCACAGUGCAUCAGGGCUGUUACUUGGCGUGAACAAAAACAACAGAACUAAAGCUGUACGGUUUGCAAACGAUUGCAAACUAAUUCAAUUCUCUAAUUUUUUAUUAAUUACAAAUCCUAAUGGAAUUAUUUUAUGAUUUUUCAUUUAAAAGCACUGAAGCUCAAAAUUAGUAUUGCAACACUGUUUGAUUUUAUGUAUGAUUUGGAAAAUGUACACAGGUAAGAAAAUGCAUUUCCUAAUGAGUUGCAUUACAGUUGGCCUCCACCAGUGAAUGAUUGCAAUAAUUUACAAUAUAAUAUAAUAAAAUAUUUUUAAAAAUGAAGAAUAGCUUCAAUGAUAGAGCUGUCAAAACAGAGGAAAUAGUAAAAAAAUGUAUUAAUUUUGCUUGAAUUAACAUUUUUUGUUGUUUUUGCUUCAAGAUUCUUCAGUGAUGAUAUACACACUGAAAAUAGACAAACUCAGGGCUUGAUUAUCUAAAUUAUUGUAUUUGUUGAAUAAAAUAAAAACAUUGUUAAAUCUGUUUAAUCCAAUGGGUCACAGAGAGUCAGAAGCAGUAGGUGCAUUCUUGUCCUGGACCGGACUCAAAAGUAUCAGAAGGCCCUCUUACAAGCACACAUCCACACUCACAGUUACACAGGGCCAGUUUGGAAUCACCAAUUAAUCCAACCACUAUGUGUUUGUGGAUGUUGGAGGAAACUUUGGAAAACAUAACUGUGAAAAUCAACUAUUUUUUAUUAUACUUAAGUACAGAAGUGUAGAGGUUUUCAUCUUGUAUUCACUUAACUUAAAUCAACUUAUCCUGUUUUGUUUUUGUCGUCUGUUUUCAUAUUUUAUUUAUCAAUAUAGAGGACUAAUGCUUAAAUCUGCAUUUCAAGAAAACAAGGUGUAAAUCUACAAAACAAAUUAUUUUUUGAUAUACGAGUAUUUUAACCAUUUAUCCAUUUUCUAUC